rnacentral:rRNA from 1 species
GAUAAACGCUGGCGGCGUGCCUAAUACAUGCAAGUCGAGCGAACGGACGAGAAGCUUGCUUCUCUGAUGUUAGCGGCGGACGGGUGAGUAACACGUGGAUAACCUACCUAUAAGACUGGGAUAACUUCGGGAAACCGGAGCUAAUACCGGAUAAUAUUUUGAACCGCAUGGUUCAAAAGUGAAAGACGGUCUUGCUGUCACUUAUAGAUGGAUCCGCGCUGCAUUAGCUAGUUGGUAAGGUAACGGCUUACCAAGGCAACGAUGCAUAGCCGACCUGAGAGGGUGAUCGGCCACACUGGAACUGAGACACGGUCCAGACUCCUACGGGAGGCAGCAGUAGGGAAUCUUCCGCAAUGGGCGAAAGCCUGACGGAGCAACGCCGCGUGAGUGAUGAAGGUCUUCGGAUCGUAAAACUCUGUUAUUAGGGAAGAACAUAUGUGUAAGUAACUGUGCACAUCUUGACGGUACCUAAUCAGAAAGCCACGGCUAACUACGUGCCAGCAGCCGCGGUAAUACGUAGGUGGCAAGCGUUAUCCGGAAUUAUUGGGCGUAAAGCGCGCGUACGCGGUUUUUUAAGUCUGAUGUGAAAGCCCACGGCUCAACCGUGGAGGGUCAUUGGAAACUGGAAAACUUGAGUGCAGAAGAGGAAAGUGGAAUUCCAUGUGUAGCGGUGAAAUGCGCAGAGAUAUGGAGGAACACCAGUGGCGAAGGCGACUUUCUGGUCUGUAACUGACGCUGAUGUGCGAAAGCGUGGGGAUCAAACAGGAUUAGAUACCCUGGUAGUCCACGCCGUAAACGAUGAGUGCUAAGUGUUAGGGGGUUUCCGCCCCUUAGUGCUGCAGCUAACGCAUUAAGCACUCCGCCUGGGGAGUACGACCGCAAGGUUGAAACUCAAAGGAAUUGACGGGGACCCGCACAAGCGGUGGAGCAUGUGGUUUAAUUCGAAGCAACGCGAAGAACCUUACCAAAUCUUGACAUCCUUUGACAACUCUAGAGAUAGAGCCUUCCCCUUCGGGGGACAAAGUGACAGGUGGUGCAUGGUUGUCGUCAGCUCGUGUCGUGAGAUGUUGGGUUAAGUCCCGCAACGAGCGCAACCCUUAAGCUUAGUUGCCAUCAUUAAGUUGGGCACUCUAAGUUGACUGCCGGUGACAAACCGGAGGAAGGUGGGGAUGACGUCAAAUCAUCAUGCCCCUUAUGAUUUGGGCUACACACGUGCUACAAUGGACAAUACAAAGGGCAGCGAAACCGCGAGGUCAAGCAAAUCCCAUAAAGUUGUUCUCAGUUCGGAUUGUAGUCUGCAACUCGACUACAUGAAGCUGGAAUCGCUAGUAAUCGUAGAUCAGCAUGCUACGGUGAAUACGUUCCCGGGUCU